rnacentral:rRNA from 1 species
GUAGGUGGCAAGCGUUGUCCGGAAUUAUUGGGCGUAAAGCGCGCGCAGGUGGUUCUUUAAGUCUGAUGUGAAAGCCCCCGGGCUCAACCGGGGAGGGUCACUGGAAACUGGGGAACUUGAGUGCAGGAGAGGAAAGUGGAAUUCCACGUGUAGCGGUGAAAUGCGUAGAUAUGUGGAGGAACACCAGUGGCGAAGGCGACUUUCUGGCCUGUAACUGACACUGAGGCGCGAAAGCGUGGGGAGCAAACAGGAUUAGAUACCCUGGUAGUCCACGCCGUAAACGAUGAGUGCUAAGUGUUGGGGGGUUUCCGCCCCUCAGUGCUGCAGCUAACGCAUUAAGCACUCCGCCAGGGGAGUACGGUCGCAAAGACUG